GGUGAGUAAUGCCUAGGAAUCUGCCUGGUAGUGGGGGACAACGUUUCGAAAGGAACGCUAAUACCGCAUACGUCCUAAGGGAGAAAGCAGGGGACCUUCGGGCCUUGCGCUAUCAGAUGAGCCUAGGUCGGAUUAGCUUGUUGGUGAGGUAAUGGCUCACCAAGGCGACGAUCCGUAACUGGUCUGAGAGGAUGAUCAGUCACACUGGAACUGAGACACGGUCCAGACUCCUACGGGAGGCAGCAGUGGGGAAUAUUGGACAAUGGGCGAAAGCCUGAUCCAGCCAUGCCGCGUGUGUGAAGAAGGUCUUCGGAUUGUAAAGCACUUUAAGUUGGGAGGAAGGGUUGUAGAUUAAUACUCUGCAAUUUUGACGUUACCGACAGAAUAAGCACCGGCUAACUCUGUGCCAGCAGCCGCGGUAAUACAGAGGGUGCAAGCGUUAAUCGGAAUUACUGGGCGUAAAGCGCGCGUAGGUGGUUUGUUAAGUUGGAUGUGAAAGCCCCGGGCUCAACCUGGGAACUGCAUCCAAAACUGGCAAGCUAGAGUACGGUAGAGGGUGGUGGAAUUUCCUGUGUAGCGGUGAAAUGCGUAGAUAUAGGAAGGAACACCAGUGGCGAAGGCGACCACCUGGACUGAUACUGACACUGAGGUGCGAAAGCGUGGGGAGCAAACAGGAUUAGAUACCCUGGUAGUCCACGCCGUAAACGAUGUCAACUAGCCGUUGGAAUCCUUGAGAUUUUAGUGGCGCAGCUAACGCAUUAAGUUGACCGCCUGGGGAGUACGGCCGCAAGGUUAAAACUCAAAUGAAUUGACGGGGGCCCGCACAAGCGGUGG
rnacentral:rRNA from 1 species